CCAAAUUAAGGUGAAACCGCGAAUGGCUCAUUAAAUCAGUUAUGGUUCCUUAGAUCGUACCCACGUUACUUGGAUAACUGUGGUAAUUCUAGAGCUAAUACAUGCAAACAGAGCUCUGACCNGAAAUGGAAGGAGCGCUUUUAUUAGAUCAAAACCAAUCGGUCGGCUUGUCCGGUCCGUUUGCCUUGGUGACUCUGAAUAACUUUNNGCUGAUCGCANGGUCUNUGUACCGGCGACGCAUCUUUCAAAUGUCUGCCUUAUCAACUUACGAUGGUAGGUUCUGCGCCUAC
rnacentral:rRNA from 1 species